UUGAAACACCAAUUCUCAUACGAUCACCAAAGUUAAGCAAUGUUGAGCCUGGUCAGUACCCAGGUAUGAAACUGUUUGGGAAUACCAGGUGCUGUAA